UACGUAGGGUGCGAGCGUUUAAUCGGAAUUACUGGGCGUAAAGUGUGCGCAGGCGGCAGAGCAAGUCGAGUGUGAAAGCCCCGGGCUUAACUUGGGAAUUGCGCUCGAAACUACUUUGCUGGAGUGUGGCAGAGGAAGGUGGAAUUCCACGUGUAGCGGUGAAAUGCGUAGAGAUGUGGAGGAACACCAAUGGCGAAGGCAGCCUUCUGGGCCAACACUGACGCUCAUGCACGAAGCGUG
rnacentral:rRNA from 1 species